UACUUCCACGAUUUAAAAAGUAUUUUAUUU
rnacentral:piRNA from 1 species